rnacentral:rRNA from 1 species
GAUGAACGCUGGCGGCGUGCCUAAUACAUGCAAGUCGAGCGAACAGACGAGGAGCUUGCUCCUCUGACGUUAGCGGCGGACGGGUGAGUAACACGUGGAUAACCUACCUAUAAGACUGGGAUAACUUCGGGAAACCGGAGCUAAUACCGGAUAAUAUAUUGAACCGCAUGGUUCAAUAGUGAAAGACGGUUUUGCUGUCACUUAUAGAUGGAUCCGCGCCGCAUUAGCUAGUUGGUAAGGUAACGGCUUACCAAGGCAACGAUGCGUAGCCGACCUGAGAGGGUGAUCGGCCACACUGGAACUGAGACACGGUCCAGACUCCUACGGGAGGCAGCAGUAGGGAAUCUUCCGCAAUGGGCGAAAGCUUGACGGAGCAACGCCGCGUGAGUGAUGAAGGUCUUCGGAUCGUAAAACUCUGUUAUUAGGGAAGAACAAAUGUGUAAGUAACUAUGCACGUCUUGACGGGACCUAAUCAGAAAACCACGGCUAACUACGU